GUAAGGAGGGGGGUCAUAUAAUAUGAUAUUGUCACUCAUCCCUAUCAUUUCUUAUUACUGUUAUAAACAGGAAGAUUUCGAAUCUAAAAGUAAGACUUACUUGUUUGAACCUGGGAUUCUGGCCCAAACUAUACCCACCACAUUUCCACAGAGAAGGUUCAAGUCCCUGGAUGCCUAUGCCAAAUGGAUUCCCCCAUUCUCCCAAGAAUGCAAAUGAUGACAAAUUGACCAAAGCUUCUGGACUUUCCUCUCUAAAACAGGGUCAAUACCUGAGUUAAGACAGAGAAUUUCAAGUCUGUGAAUCUCAGCUUUGGUUCUGCUUCUUCUCUGCAGUUGAGAGAAUUUAUGAAGCCAAAAAAAAUACCUUGACUAUGAAUAAUAGUUUCAAUAAGGAAGACAGAAUGAGUUCUGACACGAUGGUUGGGAGCUGUGACAGGCAGACGAAAAAUGGAGCCAAAUGGCAUGGAGGUGUCAUGAUGUUGGAACAGUAACAAUAACUCAACCAACCAGGGCUUGUCUGAAUACAAUCCUACAGCAGCAGGAGCUGUGGAGAUAUAGAAGGCAAGGAAGACCAGGUUGUGAGGGAAGACGAAUUUACUCCCAGGAAUGUUGGGAUUGAGAGUAAUAUUCUCCAAUAAUGGUGGAAGACAGAACAAUAAAAGCCCACCAGCUCCUUCUGCAUGGUGGGAUAAGAGAAAAGCCAAGGGCAGAAGUGAGAAAAAUAACCAUCACCAAACUGAAAAGAAAACCUUUAUAAAAAAACUGGAUUGAUAAAUGACCUUUAGUAGUGGAAAGAUACCAUUCCAAUGAAGCAUGAAUUGAAAGGAUUUCUUCUGAAAGCUAAUUUACAUUUUUCUUUUUUUUUUUUUCAUUUUCAGUGUGUUUUAGCAGGUGUAUUGUUCUACAUGGUUAGUUUCUUUACCUCUUUGAGAAAAAUGGGUCAGCUUGACACAUCUGGAUGAAAGAAUCCGUUAGGUGAUUAUGAUUGAAGACAGAUUAAGCCUUGUUAUGAGGGGAAUAUUUGGGGGCUUACCCUGAGGUGAUAUUUGAUGAUUUAGCUGUGGGAGAAUUUCCCUCCCAAGAUCAGCGUGACUGACACUGAAAUUGCUACAGGGGAACCGGACCUUUCCAAGAGGUGACAAGGACAUUUACCUGGUACAACACAAUGGUUCUGGACUGGAAGUCUAGUCCCAUUGAUGAAGUUCCCAAAAGAUGUCCAGGUCCUAAUCCCUGGAAUCUGUGAAUAUGUCAUCUUACACAUCAAAAGAACUUUGAAAAUGUGAUUGAGGUUAAGGACCUUGGAAUGAGGAGAUUACCUUGGAUUAUCUGGUUGGGUCCAAGCUAAUCACAUGAGUCCUUAAAGGAGAAGAACCUUUUUUAGCUGGGUCAGAGAGAGAUGUGAUGAUGAAAACAGGCUCAGGGAGAUGCACUGUAAGAAGGGCUUGACCAGUUGUUUUUGACUUUGAAGAUGGAGGGAAGGGCCAGGAGCCAAGGAAGGUGGGUGGCUUUUGGAAGGUGGAAAAAGCAAGGGAACAUUCUCUCCAGAGCCUCCAGAAAGGAGCUCAGCCCUGUUGACAUCUUUGUUUUUAUUUUUUAUUUUUAGUAGCAUUGAGGUCUCACUAUGUUGCACAGGCUGGUCUUGAACUCUUGAGCUCAAGCACUCCUCCCGCCUUGGCUUCCCAAAGUGCUGGGAUUAUAGGCAUGUGCCACCACAUCUGGCUUCCUACUGACAUCUUAACUUUAGUGCAGUGAGACUCAUAUUUGAAUUUCUGACCUUAUAUUAUAGAACCAUAAGACAUUAUAGAAUUAUAUAGAAUUAUAGAACCAUAAGACAAUAACUUUGUGUUGUUUUAAGAUACUAAAUUUUUGGUAAUUUGUUAUGGCAGCACAAUAAAACCAAUAUAGCAUUAUAUUAUGCCAAUAUCAUCUCUUUGUUGACUAUUGCUAUUAUAGUUUGUUUUAUGGGUCUUGUGUAAACAAUCAAGCUAUAAUAUUGGGUUAACUCCCUAAGGAAAACUUGGAAUAUAGAACAUUAUUUUAAAGACUGAAUUAGGUAAAUACACCUGCCAGUGAAUACAUUAACAAAUUAAUUAAUAUAUUCACUCUUUUCACUCACAAAUACUUUUUGAGCCCCUAUUACUAGCCAAACAUUUUGUUAGAUUCUGAGAAGGGUCUGCUAGACAACAUUGUGACUAUAGUUAAUAACAAUAUAUUGUACUCUUGAAAAUUACUAAGAGAGUAGAUUUUAAGUGUUCUCACCACAAAAAAUAAGUAUGUGAGGUAAUGCAGAUGUUAGUUAGCUUGAUUUAGCCAUUCCCCAGUGUAUACAUAUUUCAAACCUUCAUAUUAUACAUGGAUAAAUAUAUACAAUUUUUAUUUGUCAAUUAAAAGCCCCUCGAUGAAUACAGUUUCCAUUCUGUCCUUGAGGUGGAGCUUGUAGACUUGGUGGGGUCCGGGGAUCAACUUUUAAACAGGCAGUUCCAAAGUGUGGAGUGGAUAGGCUUAUUCUCUUUGUUGCUUUUAUGAUAGGUAUUUAGAAUGCACUUUCCUCUGUUAAGUUAAGCCAGCCACCAUUCCCUCAUUCAGUUUCCAUCCUCCAUGAAUUUGCUCACAUCUGCGGUCUACUGUCACUCAUUCUUUCCUUCUCUUCCUGAGGGCUUGUGUGACUUAUGUUCUUGGCUUUCUCUUAGGAACAUGGUGCAGCUUGGCCCUGCAUUAUCCAUCUGGAAAAACAGAUCAUAAAACAGUCCUUCUCUGUACUAAGUGCUAAAGUAGGAGGAAGGGCAUAAGUCAGCUCCCUGAGCUAUAUAUCCUUGUUUUCAGGAGCUGAGCUAGACACAAGCAGAACUUGCAAAUAAUUUACAUUUCUUUCUGCUGAGGUGGUUCAGAAUAAGUUGCAACAAACAUGAACAGGAAUGGUGCAGUAAAU
rnacentral:lncRNA from 1 species